UUGGCGAACUUCCCUGACCAAUCAAAGCGUGAUCCGGCCCAGAGGAGAUUCCAAAGUUUCGUGUUAUUUGAUGACGUUGAGAGCGAUGACUUACCAAAAUUUAAGAGUAUCGUAGCCAGAAUCGUUGUUAAGUUCCCUAGACGUCAUGACAGCCAACAUUUUAUUCUACAAGACAUCACUGGGUCAAAAAUAGAAGCAAUUUCAUACCGCGAUAAUGUCCAAAGAUUUGACACCUUACUCCAACAAGGAUCUACAUAUACAUUAUAUGGAGUGGUGUUAUAUGUAAGCUGGGGGCUGUAUCUAUUUCGGAAUUUUGGACAUAGGCUAGAAUUGACCUUGGCAACUCGGACUGUUGUGGAACCAUUCCACUUGCCAAUUCAGUUCCCGCCUUAUCCAAAACAUCUUAUGCCAUUUCAUGAGGUCCUCCAACAACCUCAUAAGAGGUUUAUAGAUGUAAUAGGAAUUGUCAUUCAUUUGGCGCCGUUAGAGCACAUCGGUGGAAGGCCGUACAGAGAGGCCAUACUAAUGGAUUCCAGGUGGGAUAUAAUCGUCGUGGGUAUAUGGCCUGAACUGUUGCAAAGAAAUGCUCUACGGAUGCUUGCAAACCUCGGACCAUAG
rnacentral:misc_RNA from 1 species